GGCCAUUCAUAUUGGCAAAAUAUAAAAAGGAAAUAGGAAAGGCAUAUUGCAGGAUCUCUUUUUUAUAUGCCUUGAAAAAGAUUUUAGAAGAGUGGAUGUUAGCUCAGAAUCAGACUCAGAUUCUGAAAUUUUUGUUACAAGUAGGAGCACAAUUGAAUUCAAUCAGGCUGACACUGUGGUUUUUGAAGACUGUAGCCAAAGUACACCCAAACACAAACUAGAAGAUGUAGUAGAUGCAUCCAGACAUUCAUCAACGAUUCAAGCUGGACAGAUAGUAAUAUCUGAUACUGAGGAUACUCUGGAUCUACCUGAAUACAAUGUGACUAAGUCCACUUACUACAGAGAGGAGGUAAACAUCACACUACCUGAUAUCAUUGCAAAGAUG